GAAACUGUAGCACAAGCUGAGAUCUUGAGAGAUAAUUUUUAAUGGAAUUAGUUUGUCAUCGUAAUGACACUCAGAUAUAACUGAACUAGAACAGUCGAGCUUUUCAAUAUCAGAAAAGCCAACAUUUCGGAAUAUCGUUCCAAUGUUCAGUCAAGUCAUUCAACUUGAUA